rnacentral:rRNA from 1 species
ACGGGAGGCAGCAGUGGGGAAUAUUGGACAAUGGGGGAAACCCUGAUCCAGCGACGCCGCGUGAGUGAAGAAGUAUUUCGGUAUGUAAAGCUCUAUCAGCAAGGAAGAAAAUGACGGUACUUGACUAAGAAGCUCCGGCUAAAUACGUGCCAGCAGCCGCGGUAAUACGUAUGGAGCAAGCGUUAUCCGGAUUUACUGGGUGUAAAGGGAGCGUAGACGGCGAAGCAAGUCUGAAGUGAAAGCCCGGGGCUUAACCCCGGGACUGCUUUGGAAACUGUAGAACUAGAGUGCAGGAGAGGUAAGUGGAAUUCCUAGUGUAGCGGUGAAAUGCGUAGAUAUUAGGAGGAACACCAGUGGCGAAGGCGGCUUGCUGGACGACAACUGACGCUGAGGCGCGAAAGCGUGGGGAGCAAACAGGAUUAGAUACCCUGGUA